ensembl:lncRNA
AUUCUCUCUCUAUUUGACGGUAGGAUUCUCUCUCUAUUUGACGGUAGGAUUCUCUCUCUAUUUGACGGUAGGAUUCUCUCUGUUUGACGGUAGGAUUCUCUCUAUUUGACGGUAGGAUUCUCUCUCUAUUUGACGGUAGGAUUCUCUCUCUAUUUGACGGUAGGAUUCUCUCUCUAUUUGACGGUAGGAUUCUCUCUAUUUGAUGGUAGGAUUCUCUCUCUAUUUGACGGUAGGAUUCUCUCUCUCUAUUUGACGGUAGGAUUCUCUCUAUUUGACGGUAGGAUUCUCUCUCUAUUUGACGGUAGGAUUCUCUCUCUCUAUUUGACGGAUUCUCUCUCUCUAUUUGACGGUAGGAUUCUCUCUCUCUAUUUGACGGAUUCUCUCUCUCUAUUUGACGGUAGGAUUCUCUCUCUCUAUUUGACGGUAGGAUUCUCUCUCUCUAUUU